CAGAUAUGCACACAGACCCUCACAGGUGCCUGCCUCUGUCUCUGUUUCUCUCCUUGUCAGAGACAGACAGCAGUCCUACAGGAGGUGGGCAGAACUCCAGCUACCCAAGAGGAGACCCCAGAGGAAAGAAAAGCUGGUGGAGGUGCCUGGCUCGGUGGCCUAUUGAGAAAGAGCUGUCCCUGAGGAGCCUGAUGGGCGUCCUGGGGCUGGGGAAGCAGACAGAGGUCCUGAAAGGACAGUUGUCAGGGCAGCUACACAAAGGCCAUCACCAGGGUCUAGCUGGAACACAGUGGGGGAAAUCCCCCAGAGGUCUGAGAACAGUAGCCUGCAGUACUUUCUUUACCUUCUUCUAGGUCAGUGAUUGUCAAAAUGUGGUCCCUGGACCAACAGCAUCACUUGAGAAUUUAUUAAAGCUGCAGAUUAUUUGGGCCUCACUCCAGAUCUUCUGAAUCAGAACCUCGGGGGCUGGAGCCCAGUGAUUUAUAUUUUUGCAAGCUCUCCAGAUGAUUCCGAGGCACUCUCACAUUUGAAAACCAUUGCUGUGGGACAAGUGUUCCUUCUCACGAUGUCCUGUGGAAGGCAGGAUGCAAAAGUUGGCUAAGAGACGGGCCAGCUGAAUUCCCCCCCCAGCGCCUACUAAAGAGAAGCAGGGGUUGGAAAUUUAGAUGGCUUUGAGCCAGAAGUCAACUGUGAAUGUCUGAACAUUUCUUAGAGACCUCUAAUGAGGCUGGAUUCUGCUCCAAAGAAGCUGUUCCUUAGAGGUCAGUUUGAAGCUGAACUGAACACAACCACCAACAAAAAUAAAGGAGUUUGCCUAUGUGCUGGAGGGGAUUUCUCCACAGAAUAUUAAGUGUUCUUUCUAUAUGAAAACAGAAGGUCAAGGUCAUGCCAAUGUGUGGCUUAGAGAGUACAUUGUAUGUUUUGGCCCCAAAUAUCUCAUGAGAGACCAAAGUUAAUUUUGUGCCAGUCAACCUGAUCCAGUCAGAAGAAUGUUCUAGUAAUUUAUAAAUGUAUCACUCUAAAGAUAGUUGAGCCAAUGAUAGACUUUAAUUCCUCUACUUGGUUCUUAAAAGGGAACAGUGGAAUUUAAUUCCUUCCACUUAUUUCUAAACGUGGG
rnacentral:lncRNA from 1 species